rnacentral:lncRNA from 1 species
AUCACUGAAAAACAUUAAAUUCUUCUUGUCUGUUUCCCUAACAGAUAAAAAGAUGCUAAAUUCACAGCUAUGCAUAAAUGAACUGAACCUGCCCAAGGUAACAGAAAAAUAAACAGAAUUGUAAGUACUCAAAUACAGAAUAGAAUGUUAAUCUUGUUUAUCCGGAAGAUCGGAUAUAGUUGAAUUUAUUAGUAGUUCUAGGGAUAUGUGAUAUACCUUGAUAUAAAUCGUACUAGAAAUGAAAAUGUUUAGAUUCUUGGCUAUAAAAACGGGAUAUGAAUUAUUGAAUGAGGAGCUGAAGAGAUUUAUUCUUGAAUAGGAGAAGUUGUCUUUUCUUCCACCUGCCCUGUGCUUCUAGGGAUUCCCCUUUUAUAGCAGAGGGAUCUUACUUUAUUUACAAUAAAAAAUAUACAGUGGAAAACCCAUGAUAAAUUGUCUCUUCCUCGAUUCCCGUCAAGAUUCUCUCCCCUAGUGCGGUUGCAACGGCUCUUGUCUGCGAACUCGAUACUGGCUCGAGCUCGUUAUUGGGUCGAGCCCUCGGCCUUGGUUCGAGUUCGACAUUUGGGGUGAGUGUCAAUCAGUCUGUGCGUCUUCAACUACCUUCACGUUGCCUUGCGGUUCGAUUUGGUCACGGGCUCGAUAAUGAUACCGAGUCGACUCCUCGAUCGGUCUUGGAGCUCGAAACUUGUUUGUACUACCUUCGGAACUCAUCUCGGAGUCUCGCUUCGGUCGCUUACCACUCGAACUCGAUCAAUCGUACGAGGGCCAAAAUCUAUUUCGACCGUAUACAAAUCUGUUUCCUUUUUCUUUAACUUUGUCAGAUUAAAUUCUCUUCCCCCACCCCCAUCCCUCUUUGAGAUAUAAAAAUUGACAUUUGGUUGAACUGAUCUUUUCUGUAUUCAUACUAUAGAAUAGAGUUUAAAUCCAUUUCCAAACAACUACUAAAAAUAGAUUUCAGUUGGAUAUAUCAUUAAUCAGACCUAGAAAAGUAAAAAAGUAAAACUCAGGGAGAUACAAUCAUUUUAUCAGCAUAGUAACUAAUUUGAGGAUAUGGCAGAUCUGUCUUUCUUCAGUUGUAUGUGACUAUUUAGCAGAAGUCUAGUUAAGAUAUUGGUGAUAACUGUUCUCACUAUAUUUGGCCACUUACAUUUGGAAGGAGAUAAGUGAAAAAGUAAAAGCUAGGAAGAUAGAAUUGAUUUAUUUGCAGAGUAAUUAUUCCGAGUAUAUGGCAGGUCUACUUUUCCAGUUUUAUGUGACUACUUAGCAGGAGUAUAGUUAAGAAAUUGGUGAGGACUUCUCUCCCUAUAUAUUCCCAAUUACAUCUGGAAAGAACUUAAUCAUCUUCGUUAUUCUUCUUCCCAUCUCUGCCAUUAGAUUCGCUCUUUAUGCAUCUUUUAGGCACUUUAAAACAAUGUUACCAAUAAUCUCAUGUUAGAACCAUAAUAACUCAGUUUUUAGCUGCACAUAUAUAAAGCAGCAAAUAAAUUUACAGAAAAGAUGCUUAAAUAUGUAGUGAAUAACUUAGGGAACGCUUCUCCUUUUAAUGGGCUCUACGUUGUAGUGAUUCAGAUUAAUUGGGCUAUUAAGUUCCGGAUAUCGGAUGGUUAAACUAAAAAAAAAGUUAUAUCUUGAGACUUGAGAGGAGUUCCCUUCACAUUUCUGAAAAAGACAUAAACAAAAGUGGAAAGCAGCAAAUAGUCUGACACACAUGAAGGAAGCAAACAAAUCCAAUUGAUCACUGCCAACUGCUUAUAUUCUUGAGAAUUCUCCAUAUUACUAAUAAAAGUUAUACGCAAAAGGAUCUGAUUCAAUUAAGAUGUAUUCCUUUGGUUGAUUGGAGCAGAAAAAGUUUGGCAAAUGUAAAUCUCAUAAAAAGAAGGCUGAGCAGGCCAUGCUUUUUAAAGUAGAAGGAGACUAGAAGGGCUGAGCAACUUUUCACCCUUGCAAAUCUCACUUUUCCUAAGAAUUCGUAUCCUAUAUCUAGUCAGUGAUAUCUAGAAAGAACUCGACUCCUCUUCUUUCUUCUUCCUAAUUCCACCAUAGAUUUGCUUUCUACAGCAUUAUUAGACAAAAAUCUGAACUUUUACUCCAUGAUAGAACUUUUACCCUCAACUUUGCACAAAAUCAUUAAUCUAUCCAUCUAUUUACUCUACAGAAACCACUGACCUUUGCUCCAUAGCACCUUUCACCUUAAAUUACUACCAACAAGACAAAUUUACACAUUAUUAAACAAAAAUCUACCAAGCUAACCCAUUUUACUGAGAGUGCAUCUGAUCUAACUAAAGAAAACCAAACAAAAAUUCACAAUUUACAUUUAAAAAAUCAUCUUUUUCACAAACAAUCAACUUAAUCCACAAUGCCAAAUCACCCAUCACUUAAUUCACACACACACACAAGACACAAAUCUCAAAACCCCGCAUACUCUAACAACAGAGAUCUAUUUCAUAAAUAAAAAAGUAAAGACUUACAGUACAACAUACGUUUUCAACAAUAUUAGAUGUCAAGCUAAAUAUAUCAACAACUACUCAGGUUAUAACAUGUUAACUGAGAACUUACUCACCUAUUUAUAGAUAGGAGAUAUGAAGUAUAUCACUCUGAAUGAUGGUUGAAAACUUUGCCCUGACUGGUGUAACACAGCAGUGUUGGAUCCUUAAGACUGUAAGCCCUUCUAGGUAGGUUGAUGUCUUCUGUUAUAAUGAGUAAAGUUCAGUAAAGUAUAUAUCGAGAUUUGAAACAGUAUAAAAUCAAUAGAACAACAUUAAUUUUUUAAACCUAGGGUUUGAAACAGUAUAAAAUUCCUAAAAAUCGAAGUGUUUUGGGGGAAAUCAAAAACGGAAAAAGGAGAUCGGGUGAGUGAGUGAGAGGGAGGGAGAGAGAGAGAGACUUACCUGGGAAUGGAGUGAAAACUCGUGGUCU